rnacentral:rRNA from 1 species
AUUGAACGCUGGCGGCAUGCUUUACACAUGCAAGUCGAACGGUAGAGGGGGCAACCCCUUGAGAGUGGCGAACGGGUGAGUAAUGCAUCGGAACGUGCCCAGUCGGGGGGGAUAACGCAGCGAAAGCUGUGCUAAUACCGCAUACGAUCUCUGGAUGAAAGCGGGGGACCGAAAGGCCUCGCGCGAUUGGAGCGGCCGAUGUCAGAUUAGGUAGUUGGGGGGGUAAAGGCCCACCAAGCCAACGGUCUGUAGCUGGUCUGAGAGGACGACCAGCCGACCGGGGACUGAGACACGGCCCAGACUCCGCCGGGAGGCAGCAGUGGGGAAGUUUGGACAAUGGGCGCAAGCCUGAUACAGCAAUGCCGCGUGCAGGAAGAAGGCCUUCGGGUUGUAAACUGCUUUUGUACGGAGCGAAAAGGUCUGGGUUAAUACCCUGGGCACAUGACGGUACCGUAAGAAUAAGCACCGGCUAACUACGUGCCAGCAGCCGCCGUAA